GCGCCGCGCAUCGGCCCGCGUGCGUCAAUGAUAUUGAUAAAUCCGCAUUUAUUGUGGUACCAGUAUGUAGGUAACCAGGGGUGUAUUCCAGAAAGCAGGGUUAACUUACAGUCAACUAAACCCUGAACUCUGGGUUGAUUAACCCAAACCUUGCUUACACUGGGUAUGUCGGUUCCAGAACACGUUUGAAGAGUAAGUUUAAUCAACCUCACGAAAGAUACCCUCAGGUAACGCGCGCUCACAGAAACAACAUGAAGACAUUUGCUGCAUCCGAAAUCGCAUAUUGUCACAGUAUGUACUGAAUUUGAAUAAGUACCUAUGUAUCGGCCGUUAAAACAGUACGUUCUUAGUAUGAGUGGAAGAAGUAUGAAUACAUUUCAGACAUACUGCGUCCGCCAUGUUUUAUGGUCAUGUGACCCGUAUGCUCUUUGACCUAUCACGUAUUAACAACAACCUACACGUGAGAGUUGAUAAAACAUAAUUUUGUCAUGAGAAAUUAAUUUAUUGGCACUUACAUUAAAAACGGACGUCUGCCUUAAGGUUUUCCGCUAUAUUUAUUUGAUUUAAAUUUGACCGUUGCUCAGCACCUGUGGCAUCAUGUGAUAGAGAAGUGUCCAUCCGAUCCACAGGCUGCGUCCAAAUACCCCCACUUGCGGUCUUUGCACUUGACCACUUAACUACUUUCAUGACGUAUUUCCUGUUUUUGGCCCAAGUGUUCUACUGGGCGUGAAGAUCCCAAGUGAGCAUGAAAGAUUUCUAACCGGAUGGGACACACUUAGCAAGUGCAAACAUAUAACGUUAAUUAAUGUGCUGUUUCUAAUUAUGCGAUAAAAAGCAGUUUUACAAAAUACAUAACUGUGGAGUUUUCACCAAUAAAAUGUGUAACACUACGUUUUACUACGAAAUUAUAUGUAAUAUCUAAUUAUAUAGUCAAGUCAGAUUUAUCUUUAUAGUGCUUUGUUUGUAUCGUAUCAAAGCAGCUGUAUACCCAAAAAAGCAAAACCAAAAGUAAAACACAUGUUAGCCAAACAAAAGUAGUUGUAUAACUUACACUGGAAAGCUUUCCACAACAUCUCGCAAGACCCGAGCAAAAAGUCUCAUGAUAUAUCCAGAAUGUGAUGCAUGAUGGGAUACACUUAGCCCUGAAUACCGUGGAUUCGUGUGAACCAUUUAUUAAUGUUGCAUUUUCACAGGUUACUAACGUUCAUAACUCAUGAAUAAAUGGUUCACAGUUGUUUGAAGUUGUGAAUGAAUACUUCACAGACAUCCACUUUUCUUUAAAGUGCCCUUUCAUGGGAUGUCAAUACUUCUAAAUGUACACUGUUAGUAUUUUUACAGUUACUUACUCCAAAAUUCCCAGUAAAAUGCUAUAAUCUUUUUUUACUAUUAAUUACUGUAAUAUGCCAUUGCAUUAUGGGUAUUUUAUGAAGUAACAUUGUAAUUUACAGUGACAUACUGUAUUUUGGAAAUUUACAGUACUCUACUGUUGACACAACCACAGUAGUGCUACUGUAUUUGAAGACCUUUAUCAGUGAAAAUACUAAAAAUAUGUCACUUAAAAUUUUGCAUAUAGAAACAUUUUAAAAGUGUAAUUGGAAACUGUUUAAGAAACAGGAAAUCGAUAAUUAAAGCAUGCGAGCGUGAAGCCAAAUUUGAACUGACUAAUUUGAACUGACUACUGGUAAAGCGUAUUUUAGUGUAAAAACCGCGGAGCUGACAAUCCUGGCCUGAGCAUGACCGUUGGUCUGACUGAGAGCGACACCUGUGGGAAUGAGCGGCUGACAGCAGGUAAGAACUGCUAAAAAAUGUGUUUUCUGUAAAAUACCUUGCGAAACGUUAAUAAGUGUACUUUAGUUUCGCUUUGUUGAAAUUAAAUAUUAAUGUUGAUGCUGAGGAGAAAUAUUUCCCAAAUUUAACAUGCAACAGUGGAACAGUAAAACAGCCAAAAUGCAGUUUUAAGACAGUUUAGGCGAGAAUGUUUUUAAAGUUCAAAUCUGCAGUCGGUUAAUAAAUAUAGUGUCUUUUUUAAAAAUAAUUGUUUGGACGAAUUCGGAGAUAUGAGCUCCAGGCAGUCACCGGGCGCUCAGAGCUCAUGUAACUUACCCCGCCCAACGCAGCCUCACCACGGCAAGUGCUUCUUUAUUUACCGCUGGCUCUGAUGUCUCUGUAGCGGUUAACCAUGAGAUAAAUUAAUGAGAUAAUUAAUCAUGCUUAUAUGUUUAUGACAACAAUAAAAUCAUUCAGACAUUGCUACGUGUAAUAUCAGGGUUUGUGUGUCUAAGUUUCGUGAUUUUAGACGCUCCAAAUGAGUGCUUUAAUCAUGUUUUCAUGAUCGGUUUAAAUCCGCUGGCUAAGCGGCUAAUGUUUAUGCACUUUAUUUCGGUAAUCUGCUGCUACAUACUGUAUAAUAAAAUAAGAUAUUGUUUGUAAUUAUUACAGGUCCAUAUCUGUCACGGUUCUGCCUUCUUGUUUCUGAACUUCUAGUCGUGUGGCAGGAUCGGGACAGAGCCCUUAGGUUUUAUGUGAGAAAGCCAUGAGUUGUUUACAUUUUUACAUCUCAUGUGCUUUCUCGUGUCUUGUCAUUGGCCCCGCCCCUCUCAUUUCAUGUAUUGCCUCCCUGCCCUGUCUAAUGUUUCCCACCUGCCCUGUGUUAUUAUCCCUGUUUGUGUUCCCUUUAAAAGAUCCGCUUGUUUCAUUGUCCUGUGCUCGUUGAUUGUUUGUGCUGCGUUCUACGUUUUUUGAUAUAUCCUGUGCUCACCUGUUUUCCCCAUGUCGUGUUCCUGUUUGGAUUGUCCUGUCAAGUCUAGUAAGUGUUUAGUUUAGUUUGUCAAGUUAUGUUUAGUUUAGUGGUUAGUUAGUUACGUCCCUGUUUACUUAUAUUGUUUUCUCGUUCUUGUUUACACCCCAUCGUGGGUUUCUUGUUUUGUGUUUUUGUUAUAAUAAAAUCUGUCUUGUUAACCCCUGCAACCCCGCCUGCCUGCAAUUGGGUUCUUCCCACGCCAGUCGUGACACAUAUCACUAACACAAUGUGAUAUCUCAGUAUUAUGCUGCUGUAUUUAUACAUUUAUAUGACGUUACAUAUUUAUACUAUACUAGUGGUGUUCAAACUGUUUAUUCAUUUGUACAUUGUUGUAUUGUUUCCAGAAACUACCUCAGAUGCUCACAAGUGUGUGUGGUCAUAUGCUGCAUAAUAAAGGCAAAGAAUCAUCUGAUGACUCCACUCCCUGAGUUCUGGCAGAGCCUUAAAUGGAACUAAGACAUUUAAGCCUGCUCUGUGACAUGGACUGUGAAAGCAGAGGAAUAUACAGUACAACUACCAGGUUGCAAUCAUUGCCAUUCUUCUGUUGAUGAGGUGGCCUACUUCAAGAAGAGCCAACAUCCACCAAGAUGCCUGAAGUGACAACACAGGCCAAGUUAUCAUGCUAGGUCUCAUUUUAAAUGUCUAUGUAAAAAAUCCAGUGGCUCUCGGUCGAGGGAACCAGUGCGGCACUAACUAAAAAAACAUCAUCCAUAUCAUCUGUCUAGCAAUGAACCGGUGCCAGUUCAACGCCAGCACAGAGACAAGCCUAGAAUGGAUCUUGUAAGCGUUGUGCCUGUAGGCUCAUUAACAUCAUCCUGGUGUGUUUUGUUGUAAUAGAUUUUGAACCAAAAUAUUGGCUGCAUUUACAGUGUUCAACCUAUUGUUAGAUUAUUCUUAAAGAUACUGUUAUAUUGUUAUGAUUUCAUCAGUUGUCAUCAGGCAUUGUUGUAUCACAU